CCUACGGGAGGCUGCAGUGGGGAAUAUUGGACAAUGGGGGCAACCCUGAUCCAGCCAUGCCGCGUGUGUGAAGAAGGCCCUCGGGUUGUAAAGCACUUUCAGUGAGGAAGAACGCCUGGUGGUUAAUACCCAUCAGGAAAGACAUCACUCACAGAAGAAGCACCGGCUAACUCCGUGCCAGCAGCCGCGGUAAUACGGAGGGUGCGAGCGUUAAUCGGAAUUACUGGGCGUAAAGCGCGCGUAGGUGGCUUGAUAAGCCGGUUGUGAAAGCCCCGGGCUCAACCUGGGAACGGCAUCCGGAACUGUCAAGCUAGAGCGCAGGAGAGGAAGGUAGAAUUCCCGGUGUAGGGGUGAAAUGCGUAGAGAUCAGGAGGAAUACCAGUGGCGAAGGCGGCCUUCUGGACUGACACUGACACUGAGGUGCGAAAGCGUGGGUAGCAAACAGGAUUAGAUACCCGAGUAGUC
rnacentral:rRNA from 1 species